CUCACUGCCUGGCAGAGGGUGUGGGUGUGCUUCCAAGCUGUGUGCCUUCAUUCAAGAGCUGGCAGUUGGUCACGGAGUUCGUCAGCAGCACUGACAGGCUGCAUUUGAAGAUUCUGUUAUUCAGAUGCACUUUCAUGAAGGUGAAAGAUAACAAAUUGAGCCAGGUAUGC